AUGCAGAGCUUUGCCUCUGAAGGAAAGCUUCAUGUGAGACAAGGUCCUGGCAGAAACCUGCCUCGUUACUCCCCAGCUCACCUACUGCUAUGCACUAAUCCGGUUGCUGGGCUGCCACAGCAUUAGAAGUCACAGGGUAAGAUGGUCACAGCUCCAGCAGCUCUCCAUGGAGAUUCCUGGCAGCUUGGCUGUGUUCCUCCUCACAGAGAGCUCAGAACUGGCAUUUCACUUCCAUUUAAAAGAUGCAAAAAUAUUUAAAACAGAAUAGUCAUUUCCUGUGGAUCUGCAUGUAGCCAAGAACACACGUACUCGCCGACUGGCAUGGAAUUAGCAAAAAGAAAUGUUGCACAAAUAAUGUGAAAUGCCUCCUAACCCAUCGAUCUGCAGGUGCUGCAUCUCCCAGGGAAACCUCUGGAGGCUGGACCACAGGAGCAAAGUUUGAGCUGCCCCACAGGGUACCUCCCCUGCUCUGCUGGCUGCAGUCCUGCCGCCCUCUUGGAGAUAGAUAUUGGAAACCUUAACCAAGCAGAGUAUUUCCACUCUUUUGCUGCCACUGGGAACGCUGGGGGUGGCAACUAUUUCUCACUACGCAUAACAGAGCAGCUGCCCAAACAUUAAAAGCAGUGCAGGCUGAAGCACAAGCUGUGGGAAGCACCGGCUAUAAAGGCUCCUGGUUUCUGAUAAAUUAAGGAAAAAGAUCCUUGUCACUGAUGCACAGUCCUGUGCUUGCUGGUCCUGGCUGAAAAAACCAACAAACCACAACUGUGCCUGCAUUAACGACAGCAGCAUUUGUACCAGCAAACCUCCAGCCAGCCCUGCAGUGGCUCUCCCUGCUCCAUUUUAGGGGUGGUUUUCGAGGAGCACAGGAGCUUGCUAACGCUGUUCUGAGUAUGCCUCGAUGAGAAUUUUUGCUGAGUGUACUUUCCUAGACAGCAAAACACAAACAAGACGUUCCACAUUCUCUUUUUCAUAAGAAAUAAGACAGAAUUCCUCUUUUAUGUUACCCUGAAGUGAUGGCAUUGCAUCCUGAAGGAAAAGCUGUCUUUACCGAUUAUUACAGCCCUGUGUGAAAUCUUCAGCACGUCUGAUCCAGAUUCAUCCUGGCUGCCUUUGAUACCUCAGAGAUACUGAGAUUUUGGAUUUGGUCACCUUAAACACAUUUACAGAGAGCAGAAAGGUGUUGUUAGAGUGCUACGCAGGGCUGGGGCGGGCAGAGCCUUUCCACUGACUCUGGUGUGAGCACAGCCCCGCGUUAGCUUUUGAAAUCAAUGUCUAUAAUUAGGUGGGAUAAAUCUGGACCCUAAAGCCUUUGCAUUACUCAGCUAUCUCAAAGUGAACUGCAUAAACCUCCUGCAUUCUGGCUUCGAAUGUGGGGGAUGAGCCAUAUGUGUGUCUGACCAGGGUCCUCUUGGGUCACUCCUGAUGCUCUGGGGCUGCUCCAAGUGCUCCUGGGCUCCUUCCAGCAUCUCUGGGGGAACAUGUUAUUUACAUGCCAGCAGUAUCAAUCACCAUAACCUUUGUACUAAGCCGGCUAUUUGAUCUCCAGCAAGAACCUUCGCAGUCCUAGUCUUCUCCUGCCCUCCUCCUCAGGCAACCCCCUCGCAGGAGCAGUUGGAUAUUGUUCUCCAAGCACAGACCAUGGUAUGUGCACAAGCCUUAAGGUACCUGUGUCUCAUAGGAACGCCUUAAUGACACAGAGUGCAAGCCCAACGCGCUGUGUAGAAAGAAUCGAGGUCAUCUGCUGCUCGUGCCUCAGUCCACUCCCACAUCAAGGCAACACUGUGAGUCCAAGCCAGGCUUGGAGAGCUCAAUUAGAAGCCGCUUUCAAGUUCUAGGUGCAGAGAGAAGGCGAGGGUGCUGUUUAUCCAGCCCGGGAUGCUUGGCUGCCGCACUGCGGGGCUGCCACACAGACACCCGCUCAGGACCGAGGCGACACCUCAGCACAACACCGCCCGGCCCGGCUCCAGAGCGGCCUCACGGCGGCGCGGGUCCAACGCGGGCCGCAGCCCCGCCACCGCCCGGGCCCGGGCCCGGGCCCGGGCCCGCUCCCGCGGCGCAGGCCGGGCCGCCCCCA
ensembl:lncRNA